AUGGCUACGGCCGGAGUGUAAACACCGGUUCUCGUCCGAUCACCGAAGUUAAGCAAUGUCGGGCCCGGUCAGUAGUUGGGAAGGUGACCAUCUGGGAACACCGGGUGCUGUAGGCU
rnacentral:rRNA from 1 species